rnacentral:rRNA from 1 species
CAGUAGCCGCGGGAACACGAAGGGGGCUAGCGUUGUUCGGAUUUACUGGGCGUAAAGCGCACGUAGGCGGAUCGAUCAGUCAGGGGUGAAAUCCCAGAGCUCAACUCUGGAACUGCCUUUGAUACUGUCGAUCUGGAGUAUGGAAGAGGUGAGUGGAAUUCCGAGUGUAGAGGUGAAAUGCGUAGAUAUCGGGGGGAAUACCAGUGGCGAAGGCGACUUUCUGGGAUAUUCCUGACGCUGAGGAGCGAAAGCGUGGGGAGCAAACGGGAUUAGAUACCCCCGUAGUCCCUGUCUCUUAUAC